rnacentral:rRNA from 1 species
UACGUAGGUGGCGAGCGUUGUCCGGAUUUACUGGGCGUAAAGGGCGCGUAGGCGGCUCGUUAAGUGGCUGGUGAAAUCCCGGGGCUCAACUCCGGGGCUGCCGGUCAUACUGGCGAGCUGGAGCACGGUAGAGGCGGAUGGAAUUCCCGGUGUAGCGGUGGAAUGCGUAGAUAUCGGGAAGAAUACCGGUGGCGAAGGCGUUCCGCUGGGCCGUUGCUGACGCUGAGGCGCGACAGCGUGGGGAGCAAACAGG